AGAUUGAACGCUGGCGGCAUGCCUUACACAUGCAAGUCGAACGGUAACGCGGGGCAACCUGGCGACGAGUGGCGAACGGGUGAGUAAUGCAUCGGAACGUGCCCAAUAGUGGGGGAUAGCUCGGCGAAAGCCGGAUUAAUACCGCAUACGACCUACGGGUGAAAGGCGGGGAUCGCAAGACCUCGCGCUAAUGGAGCGGCCGAUGUCAGUAUUAGGUUGUUGGUAGGGUAAAACGCCUAACCAAGCCGACGAUCUGUAGCUGGUCUGAGAGGACGACCAGCCACACUGGGACUGAGACACGGCCCAGACUCCUACGGGAGGCAGCAGUGGGGAAUUUGGACAAUGGGGCACCGUGAUCCAGCCAUGCCGCGUGCGGAAGAAGGCCUUCGGGUUGUAAACCGUCUUUGUCGAGGUAAGAACGCUCCAAGCUAAGUACCGUUGGUAAGUGAACGGUACC
rnacentral:rRNA from 1 species